CGGGCUGGUAGCUCAAUGGUAGAGCAGUUGCCUCUUAAGCAAUUGGUUCCGGGUUCGAGUCCCGCCAGCUCAU
rnacentral:tRNA from 1 species